CACGGGGCUCCUAGGGCCUGUCACCAGACGGGAAAGAAUGCCGGGGGAGGUCAAGGUCACACCCUGAAGCCCCAGGCCUUCCAGUCCACAGGCCAGGAGCCUGGCUGAGAACCCUCCUGCCUCCUGCCUCCCCCACCCCCAACCCCCUGGGCGCCAAACAGCCCCGGAGCCAGGAGGAGCCCAAUAACAGGGCAGCCGACCAGGGGCAGCUCAGCGGACCACAGGGUGGGCAUCUGCCGGCCCAGCGUGGACCCAGCCUCGGGGCCCGGCCAGACAGCGACGCAUUGACACGGCCACCUCGGAGAAGGGGCAGAGGUGUGGGGGAGGUCAGGGUCCCAGGCCUCAGUCUGCAGGAAAAGCCCCCCCCCCCCCCCCCCCCGGGGUCCCCCCCCCACACCAAAGGGGUUUAUGAAGACCUGUGCAGCGCUAUCAUUAAGGGAUUUAACGACAGCUUUGCCCAAUAUUGGGGAUCUGUUAUGUCUCUUAUUACACGCUUUAACAAGCACAUUUCUCCGAGACGCAGCCCCGCGUGAGGGCCGUCCUCUCCCUCUGCCUCGUGUGACUUUCAUUAGAAGGCGUUUCAUAAAGCCACGGAUCACAGAUGCACGCCCAGCCCGCAGCCUUGGCUGGCCGGGGCCUGGUGUCAUGGGCUGGGUGGCCGGGGUGUGCCCGCGGGUCUGUCUGCCUGUUUCUGUGGGUGCAGAGAGGAGCCCCUGUACUCAGACCGCACCCCUCCUGACACUCCCGGCCGGGGGCACGACUCAGGCACGGACCCCAGACUGGAGUCGGGCUUCCUGCCCCUUCUGCGACGUGAUCCCAGAUGAGCCUCGGGCCUCCUGAGCCUCAGCGUCCCCAUGUGUGACUUGGGCAUCUGAGCAGACAAAUGACUUCCAGCAUAUCUCAGCACUAGGACUCUGUUUGCACGCAAACCAUCAAAUAGCGGAAAAGCAAAUUUAAAAAGGCGGAAAUGAAGCUGAUUCUGCAGAAACAAAUCUCGGCCACCCUGCUCCUUACCCCCAGGAGGCCGCUGGAUUGCCACCAAAUGCCUGGGGUCUUUGGAGCACAGCUUAGGAUGCUGGCUGGUGGCUGAGGACUGUGAUGUCCCCAGCUCCAGGGCCUGAGGCCCUAGCAUUGCGCUGACCGUGCCCACAGAACGACAGCCCUGCCCUGAGCCACAGCCCUGCAGGCCCAGCCAGCUCGCCCCCCACCCCGGGGCCCCCGGGGCAGGCCACGCACAGGGGCGGCAGGAGGAAGAGUAGGUAAUUCCAGAGCCAAGCCCUGACUUCCGACAUGCACACCCCUCCCGACGCUGAAAUGUGUCUUCUGAGCUCUCUGCUCCGAGCUGCCCUUCCCGGCCCUUGGAGCACGUGCUCAGGCCAUCGCCGCGGCCUCAGAAGCUGGUGUAUAAAAGCGGAAAGCACAGGCUCCCUGAGGGCAGCUGGAGGCGAGCCGACCUGUAGCUGAGACCAAUUCCUGCCAAGAAACUUCCAGACAAGCAAGAUGUGCGCUGGGAAGGAUCCAGGUGAACAGGCCGAUGGUGGACGGGGAGACCCCUGCCCUCUGGUUCCCUGGCCAGAGCCCCCCGGCACACUGACAAUGGGUCGCCCAGGCCCAGGAUGACUGCAGCCUCCCUCGGGGCUCCCAGAGACCCUCCACGCGGCCAGGCUCCUCCUCCAGCAUCCACACACUGAUGCCUUCUCCGGACUUCUGGAGCCCCAUCUACACCACAAUGGCAAGGGGCCAGAGCGGGGUCCGCUGGUCUCUGACUCCCCUGCCCCUAGCAGAGGGCUGGCUCUGAAGAGGUUUGUAAACAGUCAGCUCCAAAGAAGCUCAAAGAAGUCAGUGGUGGGGCCAGGACCAGGGCCGGAGCCGGUGUGGGAAGGGGCGGGUGAGGCCCCUGGCCUCCGGGGGUCAGGAUCGGGAGCUCACCGCUUGCUCCCUUAUUCUGGAAGGAUCCCUGGGUAUGAGAACCUUCCCCAAGGUCACCCGGGUCCUCCCUCCCUUUCCCAGACAGAUGCCCUCAGGACAGGGACGUGUGGAAGCCGGGACAGAGCAGCGGACGCGGCCCCAGCUGUGACAAGCGCCCCCCACCCCCGUCCCCCCCAGAAACGAGCGAAGGCAUAAAUAAAUAAUAAGCCCUGCCGAUCGCGCACCGCUUCCCAGAUAGGGCUGGGCACGGCCCGGCGAUUACGCCCACAAUACCUCGCAUUCAUUACGCCCCUUAAAAACGGUGUGCUGUGUCUGGAAAACAGGAAGUGGCCGUCAGUCUCCCGUGUAAAAGCCAUCUGAAGCCCGUGGACCAGGCAUGUUCUCAAUCAGGAAGCAGGCAGUAAAUAAACAUUUACGUCCCGCGGCCGCGCGCACCCGCCUGCCCCCAGGCUACAAAGGGGCACGGAGAGCGGAAAUUUGUUUAGUCCUAUAAAAGCACAGGCCAUAUAUCAAUAGAUGGUUAAAAAUGGAAACGUGGCCGGCUAAUGGACGGUAUUGAUUUUAAUAAGCGUUAAGUACAUGGAGCUCGCAGAUAAGGGCCGCUGGGCCAUCCCUCCGCGCUCUGGGAAAGUGACUCAUGCGGCGAAAAAAAAAAAAAAAAAAUCCUCUUUUCCAAAUUGAAACUUUCACCCGGCGUAUUGGGGUCUGGGGGAGUGGUUUCCAAAUCGGCAUCUAUCCCGGAAUAUCGAGCGUGACGCGGGUGAUAUAUGGAAGCGUUUCUGCCGCGAGGUCAAGCACGUCGCGCUCAAAACAGUAGCAGCACGGGCUCGCGGGCGCCUUGGUGGCAGGGCCACGGCCGGGCCCCCGCGGGGCGUCCGAGCGCACCAGCGCCCGCUCCAGGCUGCCGAGACGCCCCCGGGAACCCCGCGUCACCCCAUUUGUUCUGCUUCCUCCCACCCGGUCACGCUGGGCUCCCCACCUCCCGGGUGUCCACAGUACCCGGGCCCUGAGAGACGGGGCCGCGGGGCCAGACGUCCACCCAGAGCAUCAGGUGCCUGCCUGGGACCAAAGCUCCUACCUCGGAGGAAGUCGCAGCUCCGUGACAAUGACCAGACGGCCGUUCUCCAGACGGGAGCUGGUAGCGGCCGGCUGGGGUCAGGCGUGAGGGUCACACUGGUCCCUGGGCCGGGAAAGGCCCGACCAAGUGGCAGAAUGUCCUCACAGACAUCCACUUGGAAUCUUCUGCUUGUCAUGGUAGAUUAGGUUGCUCCUGUUCCUGCAACACAGGAGCUCCACAAAGGUACGGUCUUACCUGUUUGUUGGCCACCAUAUACCUGAGUCAACAUGGCAGUUGGUCUAGCACAGGUCACUGAACAUGAAAGGUGUUCAGGGAAUGGGUGAUAGAGAACAUGAAAGAAGGAAGAAACACAAGUAAGUAAAAAGGGUUUGAGCCAUCAGGUCAUGGUUACAGAAGUAAGCAUGAGGCACCAUGCCCCCACCCCUGCUUCCUCACAUUGGUGCAGGCACACCUUCACAGAGCUGGGCACAUCGCAGGCCUCAGACACUGGCUGCCUGAGCAAGUUCAUGAAAGAUGUCCUGUUUUCGCUUUGCUCCAAGGCCACGGUACAGGUGCAGUCCCUGCCCUAUAAGGUACACUUUUUGGGUUUGGCCCUAAGACCUCCUCUUCUCCACAAGUCAGUGCAGUUUUCCUGUCAAAGAGCCAAAAAGGGAGCGGUCGAGGCUUUGUGGGCCUGACCACCUUACCUCUGCUGCUGUAAUGUGAAAACAGCCAUGGAGAACACAUGAGCGGGUGUGGCUCUGUUUGUAUAAAACUUCAUUUACGGACACCAAAACACGGAUUUCAGGUAACGUACUCACGUCAUGAAGUAUGGCUCUGUUUGCUUUCCAUUUCCAGCCAUUUAGAAAUAUAAAAACCACUCUUAGCUCGCAGUCCCUUCUGACUCAGAUGGCAGGCCAGACUCGGUCUGUAGAAUGUAAUCUGCCAACCCCUUUCCGGGGGUAGGGUCCCUCCCUCGCCCCUAAUAUGCACAUUUGGUGCAUAAAUGUGUACUAUUCCAUAAG